CCUACGGGUGGCUGCAGUGAGGAAUAUUGGUCAAUGGGCGCGAGCCUGAACCAGCCAAGUAGCGUGAAGGAUGACUGCCCUACGGGUUGUAAACUUCUUUUAUCAAGGAAUAAAGUGAGGCACGUGUGCCUUUUUGUAUGUACUUGAUGAAUAAGGAUCGGCUAACUCCGUGCCAGCAGCCGCGGUAAUACGGAGGAUCCGAGCGUUAUCCGGAUUUAUUGGGUUUAAAGGGAGCGUAGAUGGGUUGUUAAGUCAGUGGUGAAAGUUUGGGGCUCAACCGUAAAAGUGCAAUUGAUACUGGCAGCCUUGAGUACAGGUGAGGUAGGCGGAAUUCGCGGUGUAGCGGUGAAAUGCUUAGAUAUCACGAAGAACUCCGAUUGCGAAGGCAGCUUACUAACCUGCCACUGACAUUGAUGCUCGAAAGUGUGGGUAUCAAACAGGAUUAGAUACCCUUGUAGUC
rnacentral:rRNA from 1 species